rnacentral:rRNA from 1 species
AGUGAACGCUGGCGGUAGGCCUAACACAUGCAAGUCGAACGGCAGCACAGUAAGAGCUUGCUCUUACGGGUGGCGAGUGGCGGACGGGUGAGGAAUACAUCGGAAUCUACUUUUUCGUGGGGGAUAACGUAGGGAAACUUACGCUAAUACCGCAUACGACUUACGGGUGAAAGCAGGGGAUCUUCGGACCUUGCGCGAUUGAAUGAGCCGAUGUCGGAUUAGCUAGUUGGCGGGGUAAAGGCCCACCAAGGCGACGAUCCGUAGCUGGUCUGAGAGGAUGAUCGGCCACACUGGAACUGAGACGCGGUCCAGCCUCCUACGGGAGGCAGCAGUGGGGAAUAUUGGACAAUGGGCGCAAGCCUGAUCCAGCCAUGCCGCGUGGGUGAAGAAGGCCUUCGGGUUGUAAAGCCCUUUUGUUGGGAAAGAAAAGCAGCAGGUUAAUACCCCGCUGUUCUGACGGUACCCAAAGAAUAAGCACCGGCUAACUUCGUG